AGAGGGGAGCACGCUGUCUGCAAAACCAGCCCUUAACCCAUAAUCUUAAUCUCUUUCAUGUAAAUUUGCUAAAUGUUUAAAUAAUCUAAGAAAAAAAAAAAAUGCCAUAGCCCGGAUGCGCUGGUGUAUACUCCCAGUGCAUACACACUCACAAAUACGACUCGACCUCACGAAUUAAACGCAAAAAAAUCCGCGCCGCCACUUCUUCGAUGGAUGGGGCGCGGUAAAAUUGGUAUUCUCGCCAAGGAGCAAACAGUUCACAAUUGCACAAACGACAGAAUCACAGACAGAAGCACACACUCAAACGAAGGAAGAGACAAAAGAGGAAAUACCGGGACUCGCGUCUCGCGGACCCGCGUGUCGCCCAACGGUUCGAGAACGCGCCGCGGGACGAAGCCGCGAUCCCGGCCCUCACGUUACACGAUGAAAUCAAAGUUGCCCUGGUUCUCGAGCGUGCAACCCCGCGCGCUCACACACAUCUCCAUACACAAGGUUGUGUACGAGGAAUCGUGGUGGAGUGAAUUCACACCCCCCUCCCUCGUACACCCUACACCCUUGCGCCUCCCGCGCAUGCACCCACACAUACUUUACACACACUUUUCCACACUUCGUAACACACUUUAAUUACACACUUAAUUACACACGCUACGGAUAUGUAAAGCCAAUUGAUUUUGUAAAUUGUCGAAAAAGAAAAAAUGAAACGAAAGCGGCGAACAUUCGGAAGAAAAAAAAAAAAAAUGAAAAGAAAAGAAAAACCACGGAACCAUUAUUCGGCCACAUACACACCGGUACUUUUUCACGGAACGUAAUUAAUAUUUGAGAACGUAAUAUGGUUUAUAUAGAGGAAAAAAAAAAGAAAAGGUAUAAAUAAAAACGAACGUUUACUACCGAUCCGAGUUUGAAAAGAUCCGCGCGAGGAUCGUCAACCGAUUCGUUCUCGCUUUUUUUCGAGCGGAAAGGAAUCGUUUCGAGCGGCAGUGAACGAGGAUUUACGAGGUUUUACGAAAUAAAAAAAGCAAUUGAUCCAAAAAGACGCGAUUAAUAUUAAAAAAAAAAAAAGAAGAAAAUCAAAGCAAAAUUCGCGGCCUUUGGCAUACGUUUGGAUGCAGAACCGAUGAUGAAAACGACGCUCGCGUUCUUCUCGAACGGCGAACGUCACACCAUGCAUCCCGGACUUGACGCCGAUAUACCCGAAAGUGACGUGACAUAUUCUUCGUUCGAGGAAAUGUCGAAGAUCGAGCGUGGGCAGGCGCUUCUUGCGAGGCGAGAGAAAAAAAAUAAAAAUAAAAAAACGAACAACUCAAACUCUUGUAACUUGUCCGAAGACGGGACAGACAGAGAGAGAGAGAGAGACAGACAGACAGAGAGACAAGAGAGACGUUUGUAAAACGGACAAAGAUAAGACGCCUCGAGAAUGAAGAAGAGGAAGAAGAAGAAGAAGAAGAAGAAGAAGAAAGAAAGAAAGAAAGCCUGUCCCACGCGUAUACAUAGAGAAAAAAAAAGAAAAAAAAAAACCAUGUGUAAUAACCAUCCUAGCAAGUAGCAACGGCAUUAGGAGAGCCGUUGUUCGAAUUCGCGGCUUUACAAGCAAAAACCGUUGAUUUGUUUUCGAUCGGGUUUUAAUUUUUUAAUGAAAUAAUCUCACAAAACGAAUAUACGACCACGUACGAUCGCGCUGAUCGAUCCGAGAGACAGAGCGAGAAAGAGAGAAAGGGGAGAGAGAGAGAGAGAGAGAGAUGGAAGGAAAAAGU
rnacentral:lncRNA from 1 species